UCGAGAAUCUUCGGCAAUGGGCGCAAGCCUGACCGAGCGACGCCGCGUGCGGGAUGAAGGCCUUCGGGUUGUAAACCGCUGUCGUAGGGGAGGAAGGUCUGGUGUAUAGCCAGGCUUGACCGAUCCUAGGAGGAAGGGCCGGCUAAUCUCGUGCCAGCAGCCGCGGUAAUACGAGAGGCCCAAACGUUAUUCGGAAUUACUGGGCUUAAAGAGUUCGUAGGCGGUAUGACAAGUAGGGUGUGAAAGCCCUCGGCUUAACCGAGGAAUUGCGCUCUAAACUGUCGUACUCGAGGAAGCUAGAGGUGAGCAGAACAGAUGGUGGAGCGGUGAAAUGCGUUGAUAUCAUCUGGAAUACCGGAGGCGAAGGCGGCUCACUGGGGCUUUUCUGACGCUGAGGAACGAAAGCCAGGGUAGCGAACGGGAUUAGAUACCCCCGUAGUCC
rnacentral:rRNA from 1 species